GUUCUAAGAAGCCAGAAAGAUAAAUUGGAGAUGACUAGCCUCAAAGUUUGUCUCUUGAAUGACUGGGAGACCCCUGUGGUGAUGGUGGUAAUUCAUAAUCCUGGUGCAAACAGCUGCACAGCAAGUGGCAGAGGAUAAAUUUGUUUUUGACUUACCUGAUUAUGAAAGUAUCAACCAUGUUGUGGUUUUUAUGCUGGGAACAAUCCCAUUUCCUGAAGGAAUGGGAGGAUCUGUCUACUUUUCUUAUCCUGAUUCAAAUGGAAUGCCAGUAUGGCAACUCCUAGGAUUUGUCACGAAUGGGAAGCCAAGUGCCAUCUUCAAAAUUUCAGGUCUUAAGUCUGGAGAAGGAAGCCAACAUCCUUUUGGAGCCAUGAAUAUUGUCCGAACUCCAUCUGUUGCUCAGAUUGGAAUUUCAGUGGAAUUAUUGGACAGUAUGGCUCAGCAGACUCCUGUAGGUAAUGCUGCUGUAUCCUCAGUUGACUCAUUCACUCAGUUCACACAAAAGAUGUUGGACAAUUUCUACAAUUUUGCUUCAUCAUUUGCUGUCUCUCAGGCCCAGAUGACACCAAGCCCAUCUGAAAUGUUCAUUCCGGCAAAUGUGGUUCUGAAAUGAUAUUUCUUUUCACUUUGAGUAUUCCUAGAGAUGGGAGGAUGCCUAGGAACAGUUUGUUGAGAAGUGGUACCAUGGUGUAGCAUGGAGAGCAUUGGAAUGCACUAGGUAUGAAAACUUUCAAAGACGACUAGCACAGAACCCUCUCUUUUGGAAAACAUAAUUUGAAUAAAAUAAUUUUUAAUGGA
rnacentral:sRNA from 1 species